rnacentral:rRNA from 1 species
UUAUAGAGUUUUCUAAACUCCCAACCCAUGUGAACUUACCUUUUGUUGCCUCGGCAGAAGUUAUAGGUCUUCUUAUAGCUGCUGCCGGUGGACCAUUAAACUCUUGUUAUUUUAUGUAAUCUGAGCGUCUUAUUUUAAUAAGUCAAAACUUUCAACAACGGAUCUCUUGGUUCUGGCAUCGAUGAAGAACGCAGCGAAAUGCGAUAAGUAAUGUGAAUUGCAGAAUUCAGUGAAUCAUCGAAUCUUUGAACGCACAUUGCGCCCAUUAGUAUUCUAGUGGGCAUGCCUGUUCGAGCGUCAUUUCAACCCUUAAGCCUAGCUUAGUGUUGGGAAUCUACUUCUCUUAGGAGUUGUAGUUCCUGAAAUACAACGGCGGAUUUGUAGUAUCCUCUGAGCGUAGUAAUUUUUUUCUCGCUUUUGUUAGGUGCUAUAACUCCCAGCCGCUAAACCCCCAAUUUUUUGUGGUU